rnacentral:lncRNA from 1 species
GUGUACUCAUCGGUAACCAGGUAUAGAUAAAGAAAAGUCUACAGUAGCAAUGUAAGUGUAGAGAGAGAAGAACUGUAAGUAAGCAUGCAACAACCACUACUAUAGCUAUAUGCGUCAACCGAAUACAGUGUAUUCCGUAUAUUCGGCUCAUCCAGCAGAACCAAAUCUAUAGUAGAAGAUUCUGAACUCGGCUGAUCCGAUCCCUUAUCAGCCGAAUCGCUUGAUCCAGUCAAAGGACGUAAACUUCGAGUGUCACUAGUCACAGCCGUUUCACACCCCUAUACUCUUCCCGAGGGAGAUCUUUGACCGGGUCGAGGAACAGGGAAUUCGGCUCCUAACACCACUUUUUAUUAUCGUGAUGUAGUUAUGGUUUUAUAAUUUGAGCUGUAAUAUCGAAUUUUUGGAUUUUGAUUGAUUUUGGUUUUCUCGAGGUAAGGGUCCGUUUGGUUCAACAUAAAACCGUGGAAAAUAAUUUUCGUGGAAAAAAAGUUUUCAGUAAAAAUUUUCUUUUUUAUGUUUUGUAGUGUUUGGUUUGUAGGAAAAAAAAGUAAUUUUUUAUAAACGUUUAUUUGGUGGUAAAAAAAGGACCACAUUUCUUUGGUUCGAUGGAAAAAAAAUGAAUGAAAAAAGUUUUACACAGCUUGAGUUUUCGUUUUCCAGCAAAAUUAAAGAGUGAAAAAGCAUUUUUCAUAUGAAAAGCUAUUUUUUGGUUUGUUUUACACCGAACCAAACAUCCCCCAAAUGUAUUUUGGAAUCGAUUGUUUGAAAGAUUAU